rnacentral:rRNA from 1 species
GACGAACGCUGACGGCGUGCUUAACACAUGCAAGUCGAACGGAAAGGCCCUGCUUUUGUGGGGUGCUCGAGUGGCGAACGGGUGAGUAACACGUGAGUAACCUGCCCUUGACUUUGGGAUAACUUCAGGAAACUGGGGCUAAUACCGGAUAGGAGCUCCUGCUGCAUGGUGGGGGUUGGAAAGUUUCGGCGGUUGGGGAUGGACUCGCGGCUUAUCAGCUUGUUGGUGGGGUAGUGGCUUACCAAGGCUUUGACGGGUAGCCGGCCUGAGAGGGUGACCGGCCACAUUGGGACUGAGAUACGGCCCAGACUCCUACGGGAGGCAGCAGUGGGGAAUAUUGCACAAUGGGCGGAAGCCUGAUGCAGCAACGCCGCGUGCGUGAUGACGGCCUUCGGGUUGUAAACCGCUUUCGCCUGUGACGAAGCGUGAGUGACGGUAAUGGGUAAAGAAGCACCGGCUAACUACGUG